AUUACUUCCAAGUUGGGGAAAUGCAUUGAAAAAAAAAAGAAGAAAAAAGAGAGAGAGGAAAAAGUAAGGACAGAGAAGAACUUUGUAAUUAAAAGACUUUUAUGUUCUCUCUGUCUCUUUUACGUUUAGGCUUAGCCAUUGUUGUUCAUCUCUCUGAAUGCCUCAGCAUUAUUCAGGAUUAUUUUUUGUAGUCAAUUAUGGCGACUAUUAAGCAAGGAGAGAGGGAAUCAACAGGAUGGUAUCUCAAAUUCUUUUUUCUAAUUCCCUUAUUAGCAUUCAUGGUGCUACACCGAUCAGACGAACCGAUUUCCACAAUCAAGCACAACAAACAAUAGCUGCUCGUAUCCUUGUUAGAAUUCAUGGUUCUACACCGGUCACACAAACCAGAUUUCGCAAUCAAGCGCAACAAACAAUGGCUGAAUGUAUUGCUAGUGGAUCAAGAUAUUGUUGAUUUAAACUAAAGGAAACUAGCUAGAAUUUGAUUGGCUGCUUAAUUUUAUGAAGCCUUUGAGAAAUUUUAUAUGAUUGAGUGAAAUGAUUAUUAUUGUCUUUAA